CAAAGAUCAUCAAUUGCUUGAUUCUCUUGCAAGGAAAUAUAAAUCCUCAUACCUUCUUAUUGGGACCGUAUUUUGGUUAUGGAUGCAUGUUCUCCUUUUGGCUGGGAAUCGUGAUGAGUGGAAUUCAGUGACUAGUGUAGAACUUAUCAGAAGAGCGUGUUUUACUACUGAUUUGAUCUCUUACUUUGCCGCGUCUUCCAGUGAUACAAGAAUAUGAUGACUCAUGGAUCUCUGUUCUACGCCCUCGAAAAAUUUAGCUAAAAGUGGUGGUAUGAUGAAACGGAAUAAGCAGCUAGAAUUGGUGGUAAUUUUCAUCGGAAAAAUUGGAUUCAGCCGAUGUUUCAGCUCUGGUGGAUGAGUCAUUUCGUGUCUUUCCACCUCCAACUUGCAAAACAACACGUGUUCUUACGAGGUCAGCUAGUUUUUGCUCCGUAAUGCUUUAUUUUGGAUCUAUGUUGGACUUUGUUUUUUUUGUUUUUUUUUGU